GUUGCUUCAGCGGCACAUAUACUAAAGCUGGAAUGAUACAGAAAGUAAGAGCAUGACCCUUGUGCAAGAUGAGAGCAAAUUUGUAAAGCAUUCCAUAUUUUA